CAAUAGCGUAUAUUAAAGUUGUUGCAGUUAAAAAGCUCGUAGUUGGAUUUCUGGUUGAAGCGACCGGUCGGGCGUUGAUUCGUCUGCACUGGAGUCGGUUUUGGCCAUCCUCUAGGAAAGUGCGUCUGGUAUUAAGUUAUCGGGCGUAUGAUCCUGGUCUUUUACUGUGAAAAAAUUAGAGUGUUUAAAGCAGGCCUUCGCCUUGAAUACAUUAGCAUGGAAUAAUAAGGUAGGACUUUGGUCUAUUUUGUUGGUUUGCAGACCGAAGUAAUGAUUAAUAGGGAUAGUUGGGGGUAUUUAUAUUCCGAUGUCAGAGGUGAAAUUCUUAGAUUUUCGGAAGAUAAACUUAUGCGAAAGCAUUUACCAAGGAUGUUUNCAUUA
rnacentral:rRNA from 1 species